GACGAACCGAGCGAACGUUGUUCGGAAUCACUGGGCUUAAAGGGUGCGUAGGUGGCGCUGUAAGUCGGGUGUGAAAUUUCGGAGCUUAACUCCGAAACUGCAUUCGAUACUGCGGUGCUUGAGGACUGGAGAGGAGACUGGAAUUCAUGGUGUAGCAGUGAAAUGCGUAGAGAUCAUGAGGAAGACCAGUGGCGAAGGCGGGUCUCUGGACAGUUCCUGACACUGAGGCACGAAGGCCAGGGGAGCAAACGGG
rnacentral:rRNA from 1 species